rnacentral:rRNA from 1 species
AGAAUCAACGCUGGCGGCGUGCCUAACACAUGCAAGUCGAACGGGAAAGUGGAGCAAUCCAUGAGUAUAGUGGCGACCGGGUGAGUAGCACGUGACUACCUACCCUUGAGUGGGGGAUAACCUCGGGAAACCGAGGCUAAUACCGCAUAACAUCGAAAGAUCAAAAGGAGUAAUCCGCUUUUGGAGGGGGUCGCGGCUGAUUAGCUAGUUGGUAAGGUAAUGGCUUACCAAGGCGAAGAUCGGUA